UCAGGCGGUCGUUGACUAUAUUAAACCAAAUCCAUUUCAUUUACAUAUCAAUCCAUUUACAUAUAAAUCCAUUUCACACAAAUACAUACACAUAGGUAGGGAGAAGCCGAGAAUAGAGAAAAAAAAAAAAAAAGGAAAGAAAAAAGGAAAAGGAAGGAAGGAAGGAAGGAAAUGGAAGAGAAAAAGAAGGAAGAUAUAGGUUCCAAUUUUACAAGUUCACAGAGGGGCAUUGGCCAUGUUCUAUCCUAUACAGAGGGGUCUCGACCUGACAUUGGUCAUGAUCGUGUACAUAUAGCUCGCAGAAGGACCUUGAUCGUGUUCCAGAAUUGAUUAUCAGAGGUCUUUAAGAUCCACUUUCGUUCACGGAGGUAGCCAAAGAUCCAUGGCGAAAGUGUUUGGCCCAAGGGAAAGAUUUCAGAUUUUAGUCAGAGGAUACAGUUUUGGUGGAUUACAUGUGAUGUGAUGAGAUGAUGAUCUAGAUAUCAGCUGAUAACUAUAUCGUGAUUAUGAAAUGAUAUUUACAGUGUUAUGAGAAUGUCUCACUUUUUUUGCUAUAA